rnacentral:rRNA from 1 species
UACGUAGGGUGCGAGCGUUGUCCGGAAUUAUUGGGCGUAAAGAGCUCGUAGGCGGUUUGUUGCGUCGGCCGUGAAAACCUGCAGCUUAACUGUGGGCCUGCGGCCGAUACGGGCAGACUUGAGUUCGGUAGGGGAGACUGGAAUUCCUGGUGUAGCGGUGAAAUGCGCAGAUAUCAGGAAGAACACCAAUGGCGAAGGCAGCUCUCUGGGACGGUACUGACGCUGAGACGCGAAAGCGUGGGGAGCGAACAGG